rnacentral:rRNA from 1 species
GGAAUUGACGGGGCCGCACAAGCAGUGGAGUAUUGUGGUUUAAUUCGAAGCAACGCGAAGAACCUUACCAGGGCUUGACAUCCCUUGAAGCAGCUAGAGAUAGCUGUGUCCUUCGGGACAAGGGAGACAGGUGGUGCAUGGUUGUCGUCAGCUCGUGUCGUGAGAUGUUGGGUUAAGUCCCGCAACGAGCGCAACCCUCGACCUUAGUUGCCAGCAUUCAGUUGGGCACUCUAAGGUGACUGCCGGCUAAAAGUCGGAGGAAGGUGGGGAUGACGUCAAAUCAUCAUGCCCCUUAUGACCUGGGCUACACACGUGCUACAAUGGGCGGUACAAAGGGUCGCGAACCCGCGAGGGGGAGCCAAUCCCAAAAAGCCGCUCUCAGUUCGGAUUGCAGGCUGCAACUCGCCUGCAUGAAGCCGGAAUCGCUAGUAAUCGCGGAUCAGCAUGCCGCGGUGAAUACGUUCCCGGGCCUU